GAUUAUUACCAAUCUAUUAUUAUUAAUGAGCAAAAAAACCUAAUUCUCUCCCACCUCUCUCCUCUAUCAAACUAAAAGCCGCCGUCUUGUUCUCGGCCAACGUCCGGUGGCUUUACAGCCCCGGCGUUGUGCCGCGUGUGUGUUUUUAGUUGUUUUUUCUUCUUUCUUUAGUUUCGUUCUCAUCGGCUUUGUAGUUUUCGAGUGGUUUUGGCUUCUCUCGACGAGAUCGGAGGCGGAGUUACUCUGGUUCAAGGUGUAGUUCCGUUAAAGCUUUCGGAGUUUCAGUUGUCUUGCUCGAUCUACCUCUUGUGUUAGGUUCCGUUUCGCCUUGGAUUCGUUUUCUAUUGUUGUUUUGUCGGAGUCUCGCUCUACCAUUGAAGAUCUUGAUCUGGUCCGUCGCGGUGGUCGAUGGUGCUUGUCGGAGUGGGUUCUUAUAUGGGGAUGGUGAUGUUGAUUUCUAGACUGGUAAUUGAUUUCAAUCUCUUCAAGUCAAGCUUGUUUGGUUUAUCCCCGGUUUGCUUGAUGGUGGCCUUAGUUAUUGUUCGUGUCUUAGUUUGUGGGUUAGUUGCUCUGGAUAGCGGUUUCUCCUCCUGAUUGUUUUUGAAUUCUCAGAGUUUUACUUUUGUGGAGUUUUUGUCUGUUCUGUGGUUGGAUCUUGUUUGAGUGAAGUUUCGGUUCUGGCCAUUGUUCCUCUGCCUUGGUGUUGUGUUUUGUAUCGAAUGUCCUGGAAAAUCUCUCGUGUGGUGAGACGGACUCGAUGCCUUUUGCCAUUAGCUCUUUGCUCAUCUUCCUUGGCUGGUUCUUCUGUCUCAUCAAGAUUUGCUUCGUUUGGAGUUCGUGGGUCGCUAUUUUGCCAUCAUAUGCGGUAUCUCUUCCACUUGAGUUUAUCGUCUUCUCGGGGUUGGUUUGGAACGUUUAAUACUACCCAAAGCUCUAUCAAUUCUUUCAGCAGAGAGAGGAGCUAUUCAUGGGUUUUGAUUCGGUUCCUCUCCACAAGACAAAUAAGGCAUUUGUGCGUCGAUCCCUUAGCUUCAGCUUCCCUCUUUUGGGCUUUUGGCUUCGGGGAUAUCACUAUUUUCCGCCGACUCAUCUUAUCGGGGAUAUUAACUCUUUCCGCCGAUCUUUGUAUCUUUCGAAGGUUUAAUAUGAUUAUUCAGACGAAAAAAAAAAA